rnacentral:siRNA from 1 species
UAUGCGAGGUGGGUUCAGACUA